rnacentral:rRNA from 1 species
CCUACGGGGUGCAGCAGUGGGGAAUAUUGGGCAAUGGGCGCAAGCCUGACCCAGCAACGCCGCGUGAAGGAAGAAGGCUUUCGGGUUGUAAACUUCUUUUGUCAGGGAAGAGUAGAAGACGGUACCUGACGAAUAAGCCACGGCUAACUACUUGCCAGCAGCCGCGGUAAUACGUAGGUGGCAAGCGUUGUCCGGAUUUACUGGGUGUAAAGGGCGUGUAGCCGGGUUUAGAAGUCAGAUGUGAAAUCCUGCGGCUUAACCGCAGAACUGCAUUUGAAACUGUUGAUCUUGAGUACUGGAGAGGCAGAUGGAAUUCCUAGUGUAGCGGUGAAAUGCGUAGAUAUUAGGAGGAACACCAGUGGCGAAGGCGGUCUGCUGGACAGCAACUGACGGUGAGGCGCGAAAGCGUGGGGAGCAAACAGGAUUAGAUACCCGUGUAGUC